ACAUCGGUACCCCGCAAGGGGGUCCAGUCGAGGUGCUGCAUGGCUGUCGUCAGCUCGUGUCGUGAGAUGUUGGGUUAAGUCCCGCAACGAGCGCAACCCUUGUCCUGUGUUGCCAUGUCGAAAGACGGAACUCGCAGGAGACCGCCAGGGAUAACCUGGAGGAAGGUGGGGAUGACGUCAAGUCCUCAUGGCCUUUAUGUCCAGGGCUACACACGUGCUACAAUGGACGGUACAAAGCGCAGCAAACCCGCGAGGGGGAGCCAAUCGCAAAAAACCGUUCUCAGUUCGGAUUGCAGGCUGCAACUCGCCUGCAUGAAGCUGGAAUCGCUAGUAAUGGCAGAUCAGCACGCUGCCGUGAAUACGUUCCCGGGCCUUGUACACACCGCCCGUCACAUCACGAAAGUGGGUUGUACUAGAAGUCUGCGCGCUGACCCGCAAGGGAGGCAGCGGCCCAAGGUAUGACUCAUGAUUGGGGUGAAGUCGUAACAAGGUAACCGUAA
rnacentral:rRNA from 1 species